rnacentral:rRNA from 1 species
UACGGGAGGCAGCAGUGGGGGAUAUUGCACAAUGGGCGCAAGCCUGAUGCAGCAACGCCGCGUGCGGGAAGACGGCCUUCGGGUUGUAAACCGCUGUCCUUGGGGAAGAACAAAUGACGGUACCCAAGAAGGAAGCCACGGGCUAACUACGUGCCAGCAGCCGCGGUAAU